GGGGAAUGAGCUCAAGUGGGAGAGCACUUGCUUUGCAUGCGAGAGACAGUGGGAUUGAUACCUAUGUUCUCCC
rnacentral:tRNA from 1 species